CCUUUCUUCAUUUCUUUCGGGAAGUGUUUCGGUCAGGUGGGCCAGUUGUCCAAUCACCUUGUGGCGUCACGUGGUGACGCGACCAAUCGGUGCACACUUGACACGGAAGUAGUUCGGCUUCGAGUUUUGCAUCACUUGAUGACCGCGAUUGUCUUUUCCACUUGUUGAAUUCCCAUCGACCUUUCAAACAUGCUCGCCGUGCGGACUUGGAGGAAGGAGCCCGACGCGUGCGCCGUGACGUCAUUCACGUCGUCGCUGUGAGGGGAAACGUUUGUGUGCGUGUUCGUGCGAAAGCAGCUGGUUCCGAUUGAGCUGCCGUUUGGAAACGACGACGCCAAGUGCAACGUGACUGAGAUCGCAGUGCCUUGAAAUGAGACCUGCUUUUCAACUUGAUGGCGAUUGGCCAGCUCGAGGAAGCAGCACUCCGCCCCCCCAGACGAAAACUUCUCAGGGAUGCCACUCCUCCUCCCCUGGCACGGCGUGCUGAAGAUCGCCCUCUUCCUCCUUAACAAAGGCAUGCAGCUCCUGCACCGAAGUGAAGCCCCCCACAAUCAGCCGC